AACACGUGGCUAGAGGUGAAGAGCCAGAGAGAUGGACCGACACGAGAGGAGACAGAACCGAAUUGGAGAUUCUGGUGUGAACCGUUGGAUUAAAAAGACAAAAUCUUUUAUAAUGUAACGUGGCUCACGCUUUUGGCCCUUUUGGUAGUUCAACCCACAUGACCAAUCUUAGACCGUCGGAUGAAGAAGUUGAGUGGACCGUACAUAAGCCACCUCUUGAAAUCGUAGGGUUCGAAAGCGUCUGUUACGUGCCAAAGAGUUCUUAUCAUCUAGUGAGUACUUUUCGCUGAAAGUGCUUUAAACUAGUUUCAAGAUUGUGUGUGUGUGAUCUAAACUGUUAGAUUUUUACGGUCAAAGUGAUAUCUAUAUUAGUUGUACGGCUUAUGUGUGUGUGAAACU